rnacentral:rRNA from 1 species
CCUGAACCAGCCAAGUAGCGUGAAGGAUGACUGCCCUAUGGGUUGUAAACUUCUUUUAUAAAGGAAUAAAGUCGGGUAUGCAUACCCGUUUGCAUGUACUUUAUGAAUAAGGAUCGGCUAACUCCGUGCCAGCAGCCGCGGUAAUACGGAGGAUCCGAGCGUUAUCCGGAUUUAUUGGGUUUAAAGGGAGCGUAGAUGGGUUGUUAAGUCAGUUGUGAAAGUUUGCGGCUCAACCGUAAAAUUGCAGUUGAUACUGGCAGUCUUGAGUACAGUAGAGGUGGGCGGAAUUCGUGGUGUAGCGGUGAAAUGCUUAGAUAUCACGAAGAACUCCGAUUGCGAAGGCAGCUCACUGGAGUGUAACUGACGCUGAUGCUCGAAAGUGUGGGUAUCAAACAGGAUUAGAUACCCUGGUAGUCCACACGGUAAACGAUGAAUACUCGCUGUUUGCGAUAUACGGCAAGCGGCCAAGCGAAAGCGUUAAGUAUUCCACCUGGGGAGUACGCCGGCAACGGUGAAACUCAAAGGAAUUGACGGGGGCCCGCACAAGCGGAGGAACAUGUGGUUUAAUUCGAUGAUACGCGAGGAACCUUACCCGGGCUUAAAUUGCAGAUGAAUUACGGUGAAAGCCGUAAGCCGCAAGGCAUCUGUGAAGGUGCUGCAUGGUUGUCGUCAGCUCGUGCCGUGAGGUGUCGGCUUAAGUGCCAUAACGAGCGCAACCCUUGCCGAUAGUUACUAACAGGUUAUGCUGAGGACUCUGUCGGGACUGCCAUCGUAAGAUGUGAGGAAGGUGGGGAUGACGUCAAAUCAGCACGGCCCUUACGUCCGGGGCUACACACGUGUUACAAUGGGGGGUACAGAGGGCCGCUACCACGCGAGUGGAUGCCAAUCCCCAAAACCUCUCUCAGUUCGGACUGGAGUCUGCAACCCGACUCCACGAAGCUGGAUUCGCUAGUAAUCGCGCAUCAGCCACGGCGCGGUGAAUACGUUCCCGGGCCUUGUACACACCGCCCGUCAAGCCAUGGGAGCCGGGGGUGCCUGAAGUGCGUAACCGCGAGGAGCGCCCUAGGGUAAAACUGGUGACUGGGGCUAAGUCGUAACAAGGUAGCCGUACCGGAAGGUGCGGCUG